CAGAAAAGAAGAGGGAGUGUUAACAUAGCAUGGGGAUGACACAAUCACAUUUUGUACAUCAUGGUAGCUUCAUGUGUAAGUGGGGGGGUAUGUCAGCAGGUCGAGGGGGUGUUGCCAAUUGCUCAACUUUUACAGUGUCGUUGUGUAUCUAUGACAAUAUCAACCCUGUGGUCUUUCGUGGGGUAUACUUUGUGGUAGGCGUGCUCCGCAAUGCGAGUGUUGAUCGCGUGCGCGUUAGUGGGUAUGUUGGAGUUGUCUGCGUUUCCCCGGCUUAGCCUAUAGGUUGCAGAGGCGUUCGCAAGCGUUCGGGGUUGGGGGUUAUUUUCUUAAGUGUGAUUGCUUGGGGUAGGUAGUGGGGGGGCCAGGAGGGGGGGGGAGAUUGGAUGGGUGGAGUAGGGCAGGGGGUGUUGGUUGGAGUACCUAGCGGGGGAUAUCCUGUGUUGUGUAGUAACUGUAACGACAGUAUGUUUGAAGCUUUGUGUGGUGCCUCGUUGAUAGUGAUGUCGCGAACCCGAAAUUUUCGGUUCGCGAACGGCGAACGCGAACUUCCGCAGAUGUUCGCGAACCGGCGAACCGCCCGAAACGCCAUUGACUUCAAUGGGGAGGCGAAUUUUAAAACACACAGGGACUCUUUCUGGCCACAAUAGGGAUGGAAAAGUUGUUUCAAGGGGACCAACACCUGGACUGUGGCAUGCCGGAGGGGGAUCCAUGGCAAAACUCCCAUGGAAAAUUACACAGUUGAUACAGAGUCUGGUUUUAAUCCAUAAAGGGCAGAAAUCACCUAACAUUCCUAAAUCACAAUCAAUAUGGAUUGACACCUGACAUAUGACAUAUUGACACCUUGACAUAUGGAUUGACACCUGUCCUCAGAGCCCCUGAUGCACACGGACACAGAGCAGAAUAGAGACUGGUCCCCCUACAAAGGGUCACUUGGCAGAUAUGGAUUGACACCUGUCCUAAGGAUCCCUGAUACACACUGACACAGAGCAGAAUAGGGACUGUUCCCCCUACAUCGGGUCACUUGGCAGAUAUGGAUUGACACCUUGUUACAAACUGCUAUUUGUAACGGGCCCCUUAAAUGGCAAAUUGCCCUGUUUCCCUGGGUUGUGGAGAAGCCUCUUUGCCAGCCUCCUCCCGCAUGACUAUGGCCCCUGGGAGAUUGUGAAAAUGUAUGCACUUUUAUUUGGUGUGUAUGGCCCUUUAAGACUGUCGGUGGGCAUAUUGGGGCUUAUGGACUCUUUAUGUGACUGGUGCUGGCCCUUUAAACACCUUUUUGGGACAUCAGGAAGAUUGGGACACUGCCCCUUUAAGGCCGUGUCCCCAGACUUGUUGGGGACACGGCCCCUUUAAGACGGUGUCCCCUGUGUCCCCAGACCUGGUGCAAACCCUUUGUGCCUGCCUUGCUAUUUCCCACUUGGUUCAGUAAAUGGGAAAUUAUUUCAGCUGCAGAGACUAAGUCCCAUUCGGCGAUGGGACUUAGUCUUUUUUUCAGCCGUUUUUUUCAGCCUUAUUUCAGCUGCAGAGACUAAGUCCCAUUCGGCGAUGGGACUUAGUCUUUUUUUCAGCCGUUUUUUUCAGCCUUAUUUCAGCUGCAGAGACUAAGUCCCAUUCGGCGAUGGGACUUAGUCGUUUUUUCAGCCUGAAAUAGACUGACCUCACAGCCCAAAUCUAUGGAACUGUUUUGGGCAGGAAAAUGUGCUUGCGGUCGGUCAUAAAGGGACCUCCAGCUAACUUUUUAACCCCUGGAUGGAUUUGGCUGAUUUUUGGUUAUGUUUAUGUUUAAGUGUGCUGAUUCCAAAUAUGUAAUUAUGAAGAUGGGAUGUGUAGUUUUAAAGUUACAGGGUAUGGCUAAAACUGUAUUUUUACUGCCUGUGUUUAAUUAUGUUAAUCUCUUCCCAAACGUCAUUUCGUUCAAAGUGGAGAGAAUGUUAAAAAAAUAUAUUUUUGUUCGAGUGUGAGAAAUGCUUUUCAGCCGCUUCUAAUCUUAAGCANNNNNNNNNNNNNNNNNNNNNNNNNNNNNNNNNNNNNNNNNNNNNNNNNNNNNNNNNNNNNNNNNNNNNNNNNNNNNNNNNNNNNNNNNNNNNNNNNNNNUGGACAUCAGGAAGUGGGAAGUCACCAAUAAUACAUUUGUAUGCAUAGUUGGUGGUAUUCGAGCAACUGCAGGUCAACAGUCUCACUGUAUGUGAGAUCUGUGUAUCAACAUAUGAGCAGGGCCUGUAUAAAACAUUAUAUCCCUUCUGCAUCCUGACAAAUUGCUUCCUUAAAAUUAUCAAGGCACCAGACACAUGAUGAAAUGAAAGAAAAAUAUUAGAAAAAAUCUAAUAUGAAUCCAGGAGUAAUAAGUGAUAUAUACCUUUAAAUAUUAACCAUGUAUACUGCAAGAUAGAGAAAACAACAUGUAGCUUCCUUGCAUUAAAUGGUUAAAACUUAUUGAAUAAGUAAUAUGGUGAUAUAGUGAAAUAUAUAGACAAACAUAUAAAUAGAAAUGACAAUAAAUAUG
rnacentral:lncRNA from 1 species